rnacentral:rRNA from 1 species
AUGUCGGCGGCCGAGGGGAGGAAGACGGCGUGCGUCACCGGAGGGAGCGGCUACAUCGCUUCAGCACUCAUCAAGCUGCUGCUUGAGAAAGGCUGCGCUGUAAAGACGACUGUCAGAGACCCUGAUAACGUGGAGAAGAACUCUCACCUCAAGGACUUGCGAACACUUGGCCCCUUGGAGAUCGUCCAUGCUCAGCUGGAUGAAGAAGGCAGCUUUGAUAACGCAGUUUCCGGCUGCGACUACGUCUUCCUCGUCGCAGCUCCUGUUAAACGAUGUACAUACGGUAUCCUAUAA